rnacentral:rRNA from 1 species
GACGAACGCUGGCGGCGUGCUUAAUACAUGCAAGUGGAGCGACGAACCAGGCUUCGGCCUGGGGCAGAGCCGCGAACGGGUGAGUAACACGUGGGUAACCUGCCUCGAUGACCGGGGACAACCCGGGGAAACCCGGGCUAAUACCGGAUGUGCUGUCCCCACAUCAGUGGAGACAGGAAAGGAAGCUUCGGCCUCCGCAUCGAGAUGGGCCCGCGGCCCAUUAGCUUGUUGGUGUGGUAACGGCUCACCAAGGCUGCGAUGGGUAGCUGGUCUGAGAGGACGAUCAGCCACACUGGGACUGAGACACGGCCCAGACUCCUACGGGAGGCAGCAGUAGGGAAUCUUGCGCAAUGCGCGAAAGCGUGACGCAGCAACGCCGCGUGGGGGAAGAAGGCCU